CGGGGUGCAGCAGGCGCGAAAACUUUACAAUGCCGGCAACGGCGANUAGGGGACCUCGAGUGCCAGGUUACAAAUCUGGCUGUCGUGAUGCCUAAAAAGCAUUGCAUAGCAAGGGCCGGGCAAGACCGGUGCCAGCCGCCGCGGUAACACCGGCGGCUCGAGUGGUAACCGUUAUUAUUGGGUCUAAAGGGUCUGUAGCCGGCCGGAUAAGUCUCUUGGGAAAUCUGGCAGCUUAACUGUCAGGCUUUCAGGAGAUACUGUCUGGCUCGAGGCCGGGAGAGGUGAGAGGUACUUCAGGGGUAGGGGUGAAAUCUUGUAAUCCUUGAAGGACCACCAGUGGCGAAGGCGUCUCACCAGAACGGACCUGACGGCAAGGGACGAAAGCUAGGGGCACGACCCGGAUUAGAUACCCGGGUAGUCCUAGCCGUAAACGAUACUCGCUAGGUGUCGGCCACGGUGCGACCGUGGUCGGUGCCGUAGGGAAGCCGUGAAGCGAGCCACCUGGGAAGUACGGCCGCAAGGCUGAAACUUAAAGGAAUUGGCGGGGGAGCAC
rnacentral:rRNA from 1 species